AAACCAGCACCUCAAGUGGUCAGGAGGAUUAUUGGGCCUAAAGCAUCCGUAGCCUGCUCUGUAAGUUUCCGGUUAAAUUCAUUAGCUCAACUAAUGGCCUGCCGGAAAUACUGUAGAGCUAGGAAGUGGGAGAGGUAGACGGUACUCGGUAGGAAGGGGUAAAAUCCUUUGAUCUAUUGAUGACCACCUGUGGCGAAGGCGGUCUACCACAACACGUUCGACGGUGAGGGAUGAAAGCUGGGGGAGCAAACCGGAUUAGAAACCCGAGUAGUCC
rnacentral:rRNA from 1 species